rnacentral:tRNA from 1 species
ACUUAUAUAAUAUAUUAAUUAUAUAUGACUUCCAAUCAUAAAAUCUAAGCCAUUUAGUAUAAGUA